rnacentral:rRNA from 1 species
GAUGAACGCUGGCGGCGUGCCUAAUACAUGCAAGUCGAACGAAUCACUUCGGUGGUUAGUGGCGAACGGGUGAGUAAUACGUAAGCAACCUGCCUAUGGGACUGGGAUAACGUUUGGAAACGGACGCUAAUACCGGAUAGGUAGAGAGGAGGCAUCUCUUCUCUAUUAAAGUUUAGAUACACCGAUAGAUGGGCUUACGGCGCAUUAGCUAGUUGGUGAGGUAACGGCUCACCAAGGCGAUGAUGCGUAGCCGGACUGAGAGGUUGAACGGCCACAUUGGGACUGAGACACGGCCCAA